rnacentral:rRNA from 1 species
UACGUAGGUGGCAAGCGUUGUCCGGAUUUACUGGGCGUAAAGAGCGCGCAGGCGGUCGUUCAAGUCGCGUGUGAAAGCCCCCGGCUCAACUGGGGAGGGUCACGCGAUACUGAUCGACUCGAAGGCAGGAGAGGGUAGUGGAAUUCCCGGUGUAGUGGUGAAAUGCGUAGAUAUCGGGAGGAACACCAGUGGCGAAGGCGGCUUCCUGGACCGGUUCUGACACUGAGGAGCGAAAGCGUGGGGGAGCGAUCCGG